GGGGUUGUGGCUCAGUGGUAGAGUGCUUACCUAGCAUGUGUGAGGCACUGGGUUUGAUUCUCAGCACCACCU
rnacentral:tRNA from 1 species